CCGGAGGUGGCAGAGAGGUUAUGCAACGGUCUGUAAAACCGUACCAGAUAGGUUCAAUUCCUAUCCUCCGGACCA
rnacentral:tRNA from 1 species